GGCAAGGUUCAUACCACUUUGAAAGUACCGGUUCUCGUCCGAUCACCGAAGUCAAGCAAAGUUGGGCGCGGUCAGUACUUGGAUGGGUGACCGCUUGGGAACACCGCGUAACCUUGCUC